ACCUUGCUGCCCAGUAGAAUGGUGCAUAUGACCCCCGGCGUGUAACCGAGUGGGUUCGGGUUCGAAUCCCGAGUAAGGCA